rnacentral:RNase_P_RNA from 1 species
GGGUUUUUUAAAGGUGGCCGCCGCAAGGCUUGAAAAAGUCUUGAGGAGGAAAGUCCGAACACUAUUGGAAGGGAUAACCGGUAACGCCGGUCGAUAUGAUUGAAAAAUCAUGUCCGGGAAAGUGCCACAGAGACUAUACUAGUUCCGCUUCGGCGGGAUGAAAGGUGAAAAGCCCUCUUUUAAAGGGGGAGGUCCCGAGCAAUCGGGAAAACUUGGAAAACCCUAUCUGGUGCAAGGCGGGAUGGUAGAGCCGAAAUUACUGUUUCCAACAGUCCGGAUCUACCCGCUGCUCGACCUCUCAUGAGCAAUCUGAGAGGCUAGAUAGAUGGCCACAUUUUGUUCGCUUCUGCGAAUAGAAUUACAAAAUUCGGCUUAUACUUAAAACCUUAAA